rnacentral:rRNA from 1 species
UACGGGGGGGGGCAAGCGUUGUUCGGAAUUACUGGGCGUAAAGGGCUCGUAGGCGGCCAACUAAGUCAGACGUGAAAUCCCUCGGCUUAACCGGGGAACUGCGUCUGAUACUGGAUGGCUUGAGUUUGGGAGAGGGAUGCGGAAUUCCAGGUGUAGCGGUGAAAUGCGUAGAUAUCGUAAGGAAGACCAGUGGCGAAGGCGGGUCUCUGGACAGUUCCUGACGCUGAGGCACGAAGGUCAGGGGAGCAAACGGG